rnacentral:rRNA from 1 species
AUUGAACGCUGGCGGCAGGCCUAACACAUGCAAGUCGAGCGAGCGGCGGACGGGUGAGUACUGUCUGGGAACCUGCCUGAUGCAGGUGGAUAACUACUGGAAACGGUAGCUAAUAACGCCUACCAUCAGAUGUGCCCCGAUGGGAUUAGCUAGUAGGUGGGGUAACGGCUCACCUAGGCGGCGAUCCCUAGCUGGUCUGGGAGGUUGACCAGCCACACGGGAACUGAGACACGGCCCAGACUCCUACGGGAGGCAGCAGUGGGGAAUAUUGCGCAAUGGGCGAAAGCCUGACGCAGCGACGCCGCGUGAGUGAAGAAGGCUUUCGGGUUGUAAAGCACUGUCGGCGGAGAGGCGUUAUCCACAGAGGAAGCAACGGCUAACUCCGUGCCAGCAGCCGCGGUAAUAC